GUAAGCAGUGAGUUGACAAUGCUACAGAGCAGUGUUUCCUGCCUGGCUCUGCCUUAGAAUCAACUGGGUGCUAAAAAGGCAAGCUUUUCUUGAUGAUUAGUGAUGGGGAGUUGUUUAAUGGGAACUGAGUUUCAGAAAGAUGAAGAUGAAAAAGCUCAGGAGAUGGAUGAUGGUGAUGGCUGUACAACAACGUGAAGGGACAAGAAAACUUCCCUGCCCGACAUGGAGGAGGAGGUGAUGAGGGAAGCUUGAUGUCUACUCAAGAAUGAGGAAGAAAGUGGGUUUCUCCCCCCUCCCCACUUUUCCUUUGUUUAUAAAAAUGUAACCCAUUAAGUGCUAGGGGCAGAGCCCUCUUGCUUGUACCUCUUGUACCCCUCACAAGCCUCCUAUACUA